rnacentral:rRNA from 1 species
GAUGAACGCUGGCGGCGUGCCUAAUACAUGCAAGUCGAGCGAACGGACGAGAAGCUUGCUUCUCUGAUGUUAGCGGCGGACGGGUGAGUAACACGUGGAUAACCUACCUAUAAGACUGGGAUAACUUCGGGAAACCGGAGCUAAUACCGGAUAAUAUUUUGCACCGCAUGGUUCAAAAGUGAAAGACGGUCUUGCUGUCACUUAUAGAUGGAUCCGCGCUGCAUUAGCUAGUUGGUAAGGUAACGGCUUACCAAGGCAACGAUGCAUAGCCGACCUGAGAGGGUGAUCGGCGACACUGGAACUGAGACACGGUCCAGACUCCUACGGGAGGCAGCAGUAGGGAAUCUUCCGCAAUGGGCGAAAGCCUGACGGAGCAACGCCGCGUGAGUGAUGAAGGUCUUCGGAUCGUAAAACUCUGUUAUUAGGGAAGAACAUAUGUGUAAGUAACUGUGCACAUCUUGACGGUACCUAAUCAGAAAGCCACGGCUAACUACGUG